rnacentral:rRNA from 1 species
UACGGAGGAUGCGAGCGUUAUCCGGAUUUAUUGGGUUUAAAGGGUGCGUAGGCGGCUUUUUAAGUCGGCGGUGAAAUUUUGCAGCUCAACUGUAAAAGUGCCUUCGAAACUGGUUUCCUUGAGUGUAGAUGAAGUAGGCGGAAUUUGUGGUGUAGCGGUGAAAUGCAUAGAUAUCACGAGGAACUCCGAUUGCGCAGGCAGCUUACUAAACUACUACUGACGCUCAGGCACGAAGGCGUGGGGAUCAAACAGGAUUAGAUACCCCUGUAGUCCCU